AAUACCGCAUACGAUCUACGGAUGAAAGCGGGGAUCGCAAGACCUCGCGCGAUUGGAGCGGCCGAUAUCAGAUUAGGUAGUUGGUGAGGUAAAGGCUCACCAAGCCGACGAUCUGUAGCUGGUCUGAGAGGACGACCAGCCACACUGGGACUGAGACACGGCCCAGACUCCUACGGGAGGCAGCAGUGGGGAAUUUUGGACAAUGGGCGCAAGCCUGAUCCAGCAAUGCCGCGUGCAGGAUGAAGGCCUUCGGGUUGUAAACUGCUUUUGUACGGAACGAAACGGUGAGCUCUAAUACAGUUUGCUAAUGACGGUACCGUAAGAAUAAGCACCGGCUAACUACGUG
rnacentral:rRNA from 1 species